CAGCAGCCACGGUAAUACGUAGGUGGCAAGCGUUGUCCGGAAUUAUUGGGCGUAAAGCGCGCGCAGGCGGAUAGGUCAGUCUGUCUUAGAAGUUCGGGGCUUAACCCCGUGAUGGGAUGGAAACUGCCAAUCUAGAGUAUCGGAGAGGAAAGUGGAAUUCCUAGUGUAGCGGUGAAAUGCGUAGAUAUUAGGAAGAACACCAGUGGCGAAGGCGACUUUCUGGACGAAAACUGACGCUGAGGCGCGAAAGCCAGGGGAGCGAACGGGAUUAGAUACCCGCGUAGUCCCUGUCUCUUAUACA
rnacentral:rRNA from 1 species